GGCAGUUCUUGGGUGACUCAUCCUGGAAUCAGGCUCUGUCCUCUCUGGUUCUGGGUGUGUCACCUGAGAACCGCA
rfam:Myotis brandtii contig264620, whole genome shotgun sequence.